CCUACGGGGGGCAGCAGUGAGGAAUAUUGGUCAAUGGACGAGAGUCUGAACCAGCCAAGUAGCGUGAAGGAUGACUGCCCUAUGGGUUGUAAACUUCUUUUAUAUGGGAAUAAAACGUUCCACGUGUGGGAUUUUGUAUGUACCAUAUGAAUAAGGAUCGGCUAACUCCGUGCCAGCAGCCGCGGUAAUACGGAGGAUCCGAGCGUUAUCCGGAUUUAUUGGGGUUAAAGGGAGCGUAGGUGGAUUGUUAAGUCAGUUGUGAAAGUUUGCGGCUCAACCGUAAAAUUGCAGUGGAAACUGGCAGUCUUGAGCACAGUAGAGGUGGGCGGAAUUCGUGGUGUAGCGGUGAAAUGCUUAGAUAUCACGAAGAACUCCGAUUGCGAAGGCAGUUCACUGGACUGCAACUGACACUGAGGCUCGAAAGUGUGGGUAUCAAACAGGAUUAGAUACCCGAGUAGUC
rnacentral:rRNA from 1 species